AUCCAGUCCAGCAAAGCACUUAAGUAUGUGCUUAAAUUUAAGCACAAACCUAAGCCUAUUUUUAGACAACAAAGAACUUUUAGAAUGUUUUACCAAGGCAAGCACUUACAUUGUUAUGCUUCCAAUGUUAAUUUCAGAUUGUGAUUGCUGCUCUGCUCGGAGUCUUCCUAGCUACAAUUUUUGCUAAUGAUAAUGUGAAUGAAAACAAUCAGGGAAACGAUGGCGGAAACUCCCACCAGACUGUGAGCAUCAACAAUGAUAAGCACAUGGUCAACAUUGAUUCAAACCAUGGCUGGAAUUCAUGGAACUCCAUCUGGGAUUAUGGCAAUGGUUACAUUGCAACCAGGAUACUUUCAAAGAAAACCUGCAUCACUGCAAAAAUAAACAAAAAUGUUAUGCCUGAUGUAGUAGAGCAUCCACAGCUGAUUA